UUAUAUGGUCAAGCGAAUAAGCGCAUACGGUGGAUGCCUAGGCGAUAAGAGGCGAUGAAGGACGUAGUAGUCUGCGAUAAGCUUCGGGGAGUUGACAAACUAACUUUGAUCCGAAGAUUUCCGAAUGGGGAAACCCACUGCUUCGGCAGUAUCUGUAUCUGAAUUCAUAGGGUAUAGAGGCGAACCCGGGGAACUGAAACAUCUAAGUACCCGGAGGAAAAGAAAUCAACCGAGAUUCCCUGAGUAGCGGCGAGCGAAAGGGGAUCAGCCCAGUUACCACAAGCUUAAAUCAUUUAGAUGAACGUUCUGGAAAGUUCGGCCAUAGCGGGUGAUAGCCCCGUAAUCGAAAAGUGGCUUAAGUGGGGUAACAAAGAGUAAGUCGGGACACGUGAUAUCUUGACUGAACAUGGGGGGACCAUCCUCCAAGGCUAAAUACUACUUAUCGACCGAUAGUGAACCAGUACCGUGAGGGAAAGGUGAAAAGAACCCCGGAGAGGGGAGUGAAAUAGAACCUGAAACCGUAUGCGUACAAGCAGUGGGAGCACCUUCGGGUGUGACUGCGUACCUUUUGUAUAAUGGGUCAGCGACUUACUUUCAGUAGCAAGCUUAACCAAUAGGGAAGGCGUAGGGAAACCGAGUCUUAAUAGGGCGAAUUAGUUGCUGGGAGUAGACCCGAAACCGGGCGAUCUAUCCAUGGCCAGGUUGAAGGUGGGGUAAUACCUACUGGAGGACCGAACCCACUUAUGUUGAAAAAUGAGGGGAUGAGCUGUGGAUAGGAGUGAAAGGCUAACCAAGCCCGGAGAUAGCUGGUUCUCCUCGAAAUCUAUUUAGGUAGAGCCUCGUGUCUCACUCUAGGGGGUAGAGCACUGUUAUGGCUAGGGGGUCAUCCCGACUUACCAACCCAUUGCAAACUCCGAAUACCUAGAAGUGCAAUCACGGGAGACACACUGCGGGUGAUAAGGUCCGUAGUGGAAAGGGAAACAGCCCAGACCGUCAGCUAAGGUCCCAAAGUUAUAGCUCAGUGGAAAACGAUGUGGAAAGGCAUAGACAGCCAGGAGGUUGGCUUAGAAGCAGCCACCCUUUAAAGAAAGCGUAAUAGCUCACUGGUCGAGUCGGUCUGCGCGGAAGAUUUACCGGGGCUCAAGCUAUACACCGAAGCUACGGAUGCUAGUUUACUAGCAUGGUAGAGGAGCGUUCUGUAAGCCGUUGAAGGUGUCCUGUAAGGGGUGCUGGAGGUAUCAGAAGUGCGAAUGCUGACAUGAGUAACGAUAAUGGGGGUGAAAAACCCCCACGCCGAAAACCCAAGGUUUCCUGCCCCAUGCUAAUCAGGGCAGGGUGAGUCGGUACCUAAGGCGAGGCCGAAAGGCGUAGUCGAUGGAAAACAGGUUAAUAUUCCUGUACCUCACAUAACUGCGAUGGGGCGACGGAGUAGGCUAGAUUGGCCGGAGAUUGGUUGUUCCGGUUUAAGCGUGUAGGGAGAGUUCUUUGGAAAAUCCGGGAACUUAAUUCUGAGACGUGAUGACGAGUCACUUAAUUGUGAUGAAGUAAUCGAUGCCACACUUCCAAGAAAAACCUCUAAGCUUCAGGUUAUGAGAGACCGUACCCCAAACCGACACAGGUGGGUGGGAUGAGAAUUCUAAGGCGCUUGAGAGAACUCGGGUGAAGGAACUCGGCAAAAUGACACCGUAACUUCGGGAGAAGGUGUGCCCUUGGUAUGUGAAGGCCCUGCGGCUGGAGCAGAAGAGGGUUGCAAUAAAAUGGUGGCUGCGACUGUUUACUAAAAACAUAGCACUCUGCAAACACGUAAGUGGACGUAUAGGGUGUGACGCCUGCCCGGUGCCGGAAGGUUAAUUGAUGGGGUUAUCUUCGGAGAAGCUCUUGAUCGAAGCCCCGGUAAACGGCGGCCGUAACUAUAACGGUCCUAAGGUAGCGAAAUUCCUUGUCGGGUAAGUUCCGACCUGCACGAAUGGCGUAACGAUGGCCACACUGUCUCCACCCGAGACUCAGUGAAAUUGAACUUGCUGUUAAGAUGCAGUAUACCCGCGGCUAGACGGAAAGACCCCGUGCACCUUUACUACAGCUUUGCACUGGACUUUGAAUAUAUUUGUGUAGAAUAGCUGGGAGGCUUUGAAGUGUUGUCGCCAGACAGCAUGGAGCCAACUUUGAAAUACCAGCCUGAUAUGUUUGAGGUUCUAACCCAGGUCCAUUAUCUGGAUCGGGGACAGUGUAUGGUGGGUAGUUUGACUGGGGCGGUCUCCUCCCAAAGAGUAACGGAGGAGCGCGAAGGUACCCUCAGCAUGGUCGGAAAUCAUGCAAUGAGCGCAAAGGUAAAAGGGUGCUUGACUGCGAGACAGACACGUCGAGCAGGUACGAAAGUAGGUCUUAGUGAUCCGGUGGUUCUGUAUGGAAGGACCAUCGCUCAACGGAUAAAAGGUACGCCGGGGAUAACAGGCUGAUACCACCCAAGAGUUCAUAUCGACGGUGGUGUUUGGCACCUCGAUGUCGGCUCAUCUCAUCCUGGGGCUGAAGCAGGUCCCAAGGGUAUGGCUGUUCGCCAUUUAAAGAGGUACGCGAGCUGGGUUUAGAACGUCGUGAGACAGUUCGGUCCCUAUCUGCCGUGGGCGUUGGAGAUUUGAGAGGAGCUGCUCCUAGUACGAGAGGACCGGAGUGGACGUUCCCCUGGUGUUCCGGUUGUCAUGCCAAUGGCAUUGCCGGGUAGCUACGAACGGACGGGAUAACCGCUGAAAGCAUCUAAGCGGGAAGCCCCCCUCAAGAUGAGAUCUCCCUGGGAACUUGAUUCCCCUGAAGGGCCCUUGAAGACUACAAGGUUGAUAGGCUGGGUGUGGAAGCGCAGUAAUGCGUGAAGCUAACCAGUACUAAUUGCCCGUGAGGCUUGACCAUAUAAUGCUCAAGCAGUU
rnacentral:rRNA from 1 species